UACGUAGGGGGCUAGCGUUGUCCGGAAUCAUUGGGCGUAAAGAGCGUGUAGGCGGUUCGGUAAGUCAGCUGUGGAAAGUCAAAGGCUCAACCUUUGAAUGUCAGUGGAUACUGCCGGGUUAGAGUCCGGAAGAGGCGAGUGGAACUCCUGGUGUAGCGAUGGAAUGCGCAGAUAUCAGGAAGAACACCAACGGCGAAGGCAGCUCGCUAGGACGGUACUGACGCUGAGACGCGAAAGCGUGGGGGAGCGAACAGG
rnacentral:rRNA from 1 species